rnacentral:rRNA from 1 species
AGUUUGAUCCUGGCUCAGAUUGAACGCUGGCGGAAUGCUUUACACAUGCAAGUCGAACGGCAGCACGGAGAGCUUGCUCUCUGGUGGCGAGUGGCGAACGGGUGAGUAAUAUAUCGGAACGUGUCCAAUAAUGGGGGAUAACGAGUCGAAAGAUUCGCUAAUACCGCAUACGCCCUUCGGGGGAAAGCAGGGGAUCGUAAGACCUUGCGUUAAUGGAGCGGCCGAUAUCUGAUUAGCUUGUUGGUGAGGUAAAGGCUCACCAAGGCGACGAUCAGUAGCUGGUUUGAGAGAACGACCAGCCACACUGGAACUGAGACACGGUCCAGACUCCUACGGGAGGCAGCAGUGGGGAAUUUUGGACAAUGGGGGCAACCCUGAUCCAGCCAUUCCGCGUGAGUGAAGAAGGCCUUCGGGUUGUAAAGCUCUUUCGCAAGGGAAGAAAACUUAUGAUCGAAUAAAUCAUGAGGUUGACGGUACCUUGAUAAGAAGCACCGGCUAACUACGUGCCAGCAGCCGCGGUAAUACGUAGGGUGCGAGCGUUAAUCGGAAUUACUGGGCGUAAAGCGUGCGCAGGCGGUUUUGUAAGUCGGAUGUGAAAUCCCCGGGCUCAACCUGGGAACUGCGUUCGAAACUGCAAGGCUAGAGUGUGUCAGAGGGGGGUAGAAUUCCACGUGUAGCAGUGAAAUGCGUAGAGAUGUGGAGGAAUACCAAUGGCGAAGGCAGCCCCCUGGGAUAACACUGACGCUCAUGCACGAAAGCGUGGGGAGCAAACAGGAUUAGAUACCCUGGUAGUCCACGCCCUAAACGAUGUCAACUAGUUGUUGGUAGAGUAAAAUCUAUGAGUAACGUAGCUAACGCGUGAAGUUGACCGCCUGGGGAGUACGGUCGCAAGAUUAAAACUCAAAGGAAUUGACGGGGCCCGCACAAGCGGUGGAUUAUUGUGGAAUA